rnacentral:lncRNA from 1 species
AUCUCACCAGCCCGGCACAACCAGUUUCUUAUUCAGUUGUAGUGUUACUGAUGGUAUGGGCACAAAGCCACUAGCCUCAGAAUCACCAGUUGGGGAUUUUAGAAGGAAAAAGAUGAUCCCUGGACCCUAUUACAGACUGCAGAGUCUCCAUCUGAAACUCAGAAAUCGCUUUCCAAGUGCCCCAGGUGACUGGGCGCUUAUGCAUUAGGCUUUGAGAGUUGCUGCCUUGACUGAACUGAUGUGGAGGACAGACAUAUUGUUCAAACCCUCAUUCAUGUGCAGUGUUUGUCUUAAGUGCAAGAGACUUGAUAAACACCAAAUAUGAAAUGCAACAUAAGAAAAAAUAAUUUUUUAUGAGACAAAAUCUCACUAUGUACCCUUGACUGGUCAGGAACUUGCUGUUUGAAUUGCAAAGACUCACCCACCUCUGUCUCAUAAGUGCUGAGGUUAAGUUUUCCAUCACACUGGCAAGAAAUUAAUAUUUUUAUUGAAGUUUUUUUAUUGUGGGCUGCCACUAGACAGUCCUCAUUGGCAUGUCAACUGCUGAUCUUUUUCGGCAGCCAUACUAUAGAGAGUUCAUGGGUGUAUUUUCCCUGUCAUGUCUAGGGAAUAGGAUAUAUCAGCAAGUAUUCUGAUUUCUCAGUCUUAGAAAUUAUAAUUUAAUUAGAAUUGUAAAUAUAUAUUAUAAAUAUAUAAUUAUAAAUAUAAUUAAAAUAAAAAUUUAGACUUUAUUUCUAAAUUGGUUCCCAUAUUGCCCGUUCACUUUAAAAGAAAGCGAAUCUUCUUUGCUGUGUAGGAUCCUGAGCAGAGGCCCGCUGCAGAUGCACUCCUGGAUCUCCCCCUUCUCAGGACCCGCAGGAGGUAAGCCACACAGAGAUCACUGCAUCUGACACAAGCAAGGGCACCGCUUCCUCCCCAGCACGCUGCUCUCGUUGCUUAGGGUGACCUUGCUUUUACCUCUCUAACUAUUCUGGUUUGUCCUGAUAGGACCCAAGAGCUCUCUGUUCCACAUCUGUGCAGGUUUUAAUUCUACAGUUGAGGCAUUAGUUUCCUUAGAUUUGCAAUUAGGGUUUUGGAGUGAGUUGUGUUGUUUUGUUUUGUUUGAGACAAAACCUUGCUCUGUAACCCAGGCUGACAUCAAACUUGCCAUCCUCCUGCCUCAGCUUCUCUAGCACUGAGAUUAUAGGCAUACAUCAGCUUAUUUUUAGUUUUUUGAGGAACCUCCGUACCAUUUUCAUGACAUACUCUUUUAUAUCACCACCAACAGUGUGUGAGCUCCCGUCUCUCCACAGUCUUGCCAGUGAGUGUUCCUUUUGAGGCUUUUUAGUGAUAGCUUGUAGUUGGGGCAAGAAAAGCUCCUGGCUUUGAUGUGCUUCCCUGGCGAUGGGGAUGGUGAGCGUUUGGUAUAGACUGUCCUAGAGUCUGCUCAGAUCACCAUUUUAAAAUGAAGUUAGGGUUAUUUUCUUUUAAUUGAGGAGUUCAGGUUCUUCCUAUAUUCAGGAAAUUGCUCCUUAUCAGACAGCGUUUACCCGUAUUCUCUCCUGCUUUGCAGCUGCUUUGUCAUGGUGUUCUUCCCCAGGAUGCACAGCAGCUUUGUACUGUGACAUCUCCGUGUUUAACUCUGCUUUCAGUGCCUACUCUCUGUUCAGACAGUUUUCCUAUAUUUUCUUCUAAUCAUACCAUAGUUUGGGGUACAUUGAAAUUUUUGUUCCAUAACUAAUUUUUCUGGUUUCUAGUUGAUUUGUUUAUUUUCUUAAGAUUAAUUUUUUAAAUUUUAUUUUAUAUGUAUGCUUUGCUUGAAUGUAUGUAUGCACCAUAUACAUACCUGGUGCCCAAAGAAACCAGAAGAGGGCAACAAUUGCCCUUUGACUGGGGUCACCAAUGGUUGUUAGCUGCCCUAUGGACACAGGAACCAAAGCCCUGGCUCCUGUAAGAGCAGUAGUGCUCUUAACCACUGAGCCAUCUCUCCAGCCCACUUUGUUUUAUUAUAUUUCUAGAAUAUCUUUUAUGUAUUCUUGGACAGUUUUAUACAUGCAUGCAGUAUAUCUUGAUCAUAUUCACCCCACACUCCUCCCUGAGCACUCCCCCUCCCACCAUCACGUUGGCUCACCUUUUUAUAACCCAUUGAAUCUUAAUUGAUCCUGCCUAUGGGAUGUUUACUGAUCCUGCUGACUUGCUCUUGUACAGGAAGCUGUAACCUUGGGGAGUUUAUGAGAGCAGCAGCCAUGCCAUGUCCAGAGGACAGCCUUUCCCAGCUCUUUUCCCCAUCAUCAGCUCUUACAUUCUACAGCCCUCUUUCCCAGUAUGCCCUGAGCCUUGUUGGUUUCUAUAACCAAUGUUUUAAUAUCUAGAAUUAUGUGUUAUACCCAGAUACAACCCGAGAGCUUCUAUUUUUGUUCUGUGCAUAUUCAGGCACUAUUCUCAUUUGGGACUCAUUAAGCAUAUUUAAUUUUUAAUUAUUUCUCAACAAUAUAAUUGUGGCUUUAAUCUCUAACUGAAAAUUUUCAAUUAAUUUUUAAUUGAAUUUUUUAUUUUGUACUUUGAUUGUAAAAUAUAAGAUGUCAUACUCUAGGCAGAAAAGAAUAAUAGAAUUAAAAGCAUAGAUACAGAAAGUUAUGUACAAUACUCUGGAAACACAAAAUUUUAUUUGGCUACAUUAGUGUUCUAGAUCUGGCCAAACUGUCUUAAGAGCUUUCAAAAAUUAUUGAUGCCUGUAAGAUACUGUAGUAACUUAUAGAUUUAUUCAGAAUGCUGAGCCUGGCUAGAGUAUGGGUU